rnacentral:rRNA from 1 species
UACGUAGGGGGCUAGCGUUGUCCGGAAUCAUUGGGCGUAAAGAGCGUGUAGGCGGCUCGGUAAGUCCGCUGUGAAAGUCCAGGGCUCAACCCUGGAAUGCCGGUGGAAACUGUCGAGCUAGAGUCCGGAAGAGGCGAGUGGAAUUCCUGGUGUAGCGGUGAAAUGCGUAGAGAUCCGGAGGAACACCGAAGGCGAAGGCAGUGUCCUGGCUGGUGACUGACGCUGAGGUGCGAAAGCUAGGGGAGCGAACGGG